AGCUUAGUUGCCAUCAUUAAGUUGGGCACUCUAAGUUGACUGCCGGUGACAAACCGGAGGAAGGUGGGGAUGACGUCAAAUCAUCAUGCCCCUUAUGAUUUGGGCUACACACGUGCUACAAUGGACAAUACAAAGGGCAGCGAAACCGCGAGGUCAAGCAAAUCCCAUAAAGUUGUUCUCAGUUCGGAUUGUAGUCUGCAACUCGACUACAUGAAGCUGGAAUCGCUAGUAAUCGUAGAUCAGCAUGCUACGGUGAAUACGUUCCCGGGUCUUGUACACACCGCCCGUCACACCACGAGAGUUUGUAACACCCGAAGCCGGUGGAGUAACCAUUUGGAGCUAGCCGUCGAAGGUGGGACAAAUGAUUGGGGUGAAGUCGUAACAAGGUAGCCGUAUCGGAAGGUGCGG
rnacentral:rRNA from 1 species